UGGGGAAUUUUGGACAAUGGGCGAAAGCCUGAUCCAGCAAUGCCGCGUGUGUGAAGAAGGCCUUCGGGUUGUAAAGCACUUUUGUCCGGAAAGAAAUGGCUCUGGUUAAUACCUGGGGUCGAUGACGGUACCGGAAGAAUAAGGACCGGCUAACUACGUGCCAGCAGCCGCGGUAAUACGUAGGGUCCAAGCGUUAAUCGGAAUUACUGGGCGUAAAGCGUGCGCAGGCGGUUGUGCAAGACCGAUGUGAAAUCCCCGAGCUUAACUUGGGAAUUGCAUUGGUGACUGCACGGCUAGAGUGUGUCAGAGGGGGUAGAAUUCCACGUGUAGCAGUGAAAUGCGUAGAGAUGUGGAGGAAUACCGAUGGCGAAGGCAGCCCCCUGGAUAACACUGACGCUCAUGCACGAAAGCGUGGGAGCAAACAGGAUUAGAUACCCUGGUAGUCCACGCCCUAAACGAUGUCAACUAGUUGUUGGGGAUUCAUUUCCUUAGUAACGUAGCUAACGCGUGAAGUU
rnacentral:rRNA from 1 species